rnacentral:lncRNA from 1 species
UUUUUUCCUGUGGGAGGAGACAGGCAAGAAUCCAAGAAAAAGAGAAGCUGGAGAGAGCGGCGCGCACAAGAACACAGGGAGGCUUUUUACCAAGCUCCUGCAAACCCCAAGCCAAGACAGACGUGCAGACAUGGUGUCCGGGAACUAGGGGCUGCUGUUGGACAAGCUGAGGGGCUCUGAGCGCUAAUGGGUUGAAAGGGGAGACUGCUAACCCGGUGAAGGAGAGCAAGAGCAGCAUGUUUCACCCCAACCCAUAGCCGCCUUCCAUUCGAGAGCUCGGAAGGCAGGCACCUGGCUAGACCAGCCCGAAGAGAGGAGAGACACCUCCCCGCGCCAGGCACACAAAGGUCACUUGCUCCCUGACACCGCUUGUGCUAGCUUCUUGGAGCAGCACCCUGCUUUGGCAGUCCUUCAAGUAUCUUUCUAGAUCCCACAUUCCAGCAAGUGGCUCAGGUACCCUACUCCUACAGCAGCUUCAUAGCGAAGGGAAGCUCAGGCUGCAGCUAGCUGUCUCCUGGGAGCCUCCAUGUAAGCAGGAGACAAUGGCGCCUACACAGCCAGCCUGGUAUAGUUUAGACUUCACUGGAUAUUCUUGCCUGUUACAUCAGCUGAAGUGAGACAGCGGGCAGGACCCAAGGAGGAAAAUGGAGCUGAAGGUGUCUUAAGGUAACAGAGCUCAAAAGUCCCUGCUAGCACACUGGAGGAAAUGGUGCACAUGUGUUAUGUCUGGAUCCACAGGCUUGUACACAGAUCUGAAAAAAAGCUGUGCCACUACAAGAAAGAUGAGCACUUGAGAACAACCCUUCCUUAUGGUUGAGCCCUUCGAGGAAGUCUCUUCAUGUGUAUCUUCUCUGAUAAUAAAGUCUGGGCCUAGGUUUCACCUACUUCUAUAGGAGUAUUAAAAAUUGUAGACAUGAACACAAUUUUAAUUUUAUGUGUAACCUAGAAAUGAUGAACUUAUAGGAACAGAAUUGUGGCUAUUAGGCUUCAAUGUGGGUCUUUUAACAAUGGGGGAAAUGAUUGGUUUAAGGACAUAAAACUGCAGUUGGACAAGAGGCAUGGACUCUGUGAAGUCUUGAGGUCUACUGAGAGCAUGAUAAAUAUGGUUGAUAACAAUAUGCUAUAUUUUAAAAGUUGUGAGAUAGUAUACUUUAAGUGUUCUCAAAACAAAAAUCAUGAAUAUGUGUGAUAUAACAUGUUAAUUGGUUU